AUCUAGCUGGCGAGUCCCAAAUAGGAUGAAACGUACGUCCUGGAU
rnacentral:hammerhead_ribozyme from 1 species